CGCGGAUCUUCAACUGCAGACACAACUUGGUGGGGAAUGUGUCCGGGUAGCGUGCCUGGAAGGAAGCCGUGGCCUGAGCUGCAGAGACGAGACAGAGAAGAGGAGGACAAUGACAGAGACUGGAUCUACCUGAAGGAAAGAAGCCGUGUUCUUGAAAAAGCUGCAUGACCAGCGC